UUGGAAGUAGUUCAGUGGUAGAACACCACCUUGCCAAGGUGGGGGUCGCGAGUUCGAACCUCGUCUUCCGCUCCA
rnacentral:tRNA from 1 species